rnacentral:misc_RNA from 1 species
GGAGAUCACCAUUCAAAUCAAUUAGCCAUCUGUCACGAGAUCCUACAUCAUCAGCAUGACCAGUUGCGAAAACAAUGGUUGGAGAAUCACUAUGCCUUCUUAAACUGCGUCUUGAUAUAGCAUCCCAAAAGAGCCUCCUACUGUUUCUUCUUGUUUCUUGACUACCUAUAUCAGCAAUGUUACUAGAUAACAUGUUGGAAGAGAUACUCACCACAUCAACAUGUAGCACAUCUUGAGAGGAGUGUACUCCAAGUUCACUAUCCAGCAAAAGAAAUCCUGAACCUGAAGUUGU